GAGGCGCUUGGGAGGACUCCCCCAGUUCUGUUAAGAGCUGGGCACAAAGAGCCCUUUGCACUCCAGCCGCAGGAGCGAGGAGGAGCCGAGACCUGGGGCGUCCAGCGCAGCCUCAAACCCAGGGCAUCUCUGCACUCUCAUCGCGACGUCGCUCUGGAUGCUGUUUGCAUAUCCUUGGGGAGUCACUGCUUUGGCACAACAGUCCUGCGAGGUGCUGGAAUUCCGUCUGUUCUCAUCACACGGACAUGGCUGAUCUGUCUCAGUGGUACCUGGGGGCAAAGCAGGGAGCCGGGCGGUGGAGGCCAACAUUGUUACCAAGUUGGCUCUGUCUCAACACAGGGACUGAGCCUUCUGAGCCUCAAGCUUUCUCUCUACACUAUGAGACUGAAUCAGCCUGACUCUGGAACUAGGGUUCCCUGGAAACCUCCACUGUCCUCACAAUGACCAGGAUUCAGUGCACGCUGUGACGGGGUCACUGUGGGUUUGUUCACAGAGUUCCUGCUGGUUCCCAGGUGGUGGA
rnacentral:sRNA from 1 species